AAAAUACAGAGCAGACCUGGCACAAAAAGCAAGAAUGGGAAAUAUCUCAUUAAUAGUGUUUCUACUAACUACAUGUUGAAACUGAACAAGUUUUUCAUAUACUAAGUGAACUACAACACAGCCAUAAUCUGAAUUUCAGCUUUUUUGUUUUACAUUUAUCCUCAUGGCUGCUGGAAAAUUUUUAAAAAGUGAUGUUUGUGUUUCCCGUUAUAUUUCUAUAGGUCAGCAUGACUGGACCAGCCAUGGAAGAAACGUCAGUGUGGUCUUGAUGAAGAUGUGUAAAAGAUUUUGUGGCAGUCUGUGCACAGGGACCCUAUGGGCAAGAAUGGCAAAGGUACACACAGGAGCACUGGCCAGACGACAGAGGAGUGUCAUUGAGGAUUCUCAAGGGAUGAAGGUUCGCUGCGGUCAAGGAAAAUGGUGGCCACCAUGUGGCUCCCCUUUGAGACUAUCUGCAAACAAUGGGACAAUUUCCCAUGGAAGCUGGGAUCCUGCCCUGUAGCCAGGAGAUUUCAGAAUCAUUGGAAUCAGGGUAUAAACAUGAAUGAUGAUGUCCUUGCCUAGAAAGAAUCCUGAUCAGCAACUGAGGGUAAACAAUGUGAUGUGAAGAAGAAUGGAAGAUUAUUCUGGAACGCUUGGAGCAAGGUAAGUGGGGCCCUGCUCAGUGACCACAAACUAUGCUGCUCUUUAGCAGGUAAGAAAAAUGAGAGUUUUAAACCCCUCUUUGUUCUCUGAUACAAGGUAAACACAAGUGACAGGGCGAGAACUGUGGGAUUAAAGGUUUGCUGCCAAGUAUGGCCUGGUGGUAACAGCUCUGGCGGCCAGCGAGAAAGACCUGGAACGCUGGCCCCGCUGCUCACUAGCGGUGAUCUCCGAUGAAGGACGGAGCCUUGCCAAGUCCGAGAUUCUUCAACUUUAAAUGGGGAUUAUUGUAGCAGCUCCCCAGAGGGCGGUUAGAGGAUUAAACAAACGGAUGCACAUAAGGCUGUUUGCAGGGGUGCCUGGCACGUUGUACUGUCUCAGCGGAGGAGGGGUGUGGAGGACUUCUCUGCAAAGGCCUUGGGGCUCCCCGCCUGGGCCUCCCCCAGUCUGCUGCAGGAAUUGAAGGGAUGCCCUAAAAGUGACCCAGAGGAAUAACCUGAUCAUGAAGCUGGCUCCAGAAGAGGAGACCAGAAGAAUUUCCCACCUGGAUAAGGUUUCACAGGUGUGUUUCUGAACCAGGAAGUCAGGCAGGCAUCCUAAGCUCCACAGCUCUUACCCUGGGUGACUUGGGAACAUCUGACUGCCAGGUGGCUGAGCCCAUUUAAGCCAAGCAUUGUUGUAGAGGACAUCCACUGACUUCCCAUUAACCCAGCCUGGCUCCUUCCUGUUCUGAAGUUCUUAGCUCACCGAGACACCCCGAAUCAG